rnacentral:rRNA from 1 species
CCUACGGGAGGCAGCAGUGGGGGAUAUUGCACAAUGGGGGGAACCCUGAUGCAGCGACGCCGCGUGGGUGAAGGAGCGUUUCGGCGCGUAAAGCCCUAUCGGCAGGGAAGAAGAUGACGGUACCUGACCAAGAAGCCCCGGCUAACUACGUGCCAGCAGCCGCGGUAAUACGUAGGGGGCAAGCGUUGUCCGGAAUGACUGGGCGUAAAGGGAGUGUAGGCGGCCUUGUAAGUUAGAUGUGAAAUCCUACGGCUUAACCGUAGAACUGCAUCUAAAACUGUGAGGCUGGAGUGCAGGAGAGGUAG